rnacentral:lncRNA from 1 species
GGAGGCAAGGUGGUUGUUCAGCAGGUUAUGAAGGUGGGUCCCUGAAAGAAAGCCUGCAUUUCAUGUCAGGCUGAGGAGAAGUAGGAGGACAAUCAGGUGAAAACCUGGGAGGUGAAGAUGGAAGGAAUGGUUUGAAGACGUGCUCUGAAAGUGUCAUUGAAUCCAAAGCUUGAUCUUCCUUUAAUUGCUGUGUGAAACUGGACAUCACCAUCAAAAUGGGCAAUGAGAACAGUAGUGCAGAAAACCAGAGUGCUCCACAAGACUCAGAAUUAGGCCAACCUCCUGGGAAUGGGCAUGGUUUAAAAAGAAGCCCUCAGGAAAGCAGCCUAGAAAGACCUGGAGGUCAAGACACCUCAGAUCUUCCUGCUGCUGUGCAACUGGCUGAGAGCGCAUCUCCAUCAAUCCCAAAGCCUACAAGGUAAGACAUGAAGUUUCACCCUGUGAAUAGAAUUGAAGCACUGCUGCUGUUGAUGGUUGGGGACUGUUUGUUAAGUUUCUGUUCUUGUGUAGCUGAUUUUCAAGCUCUAUCAUCCUGAUGGAUGAUGGCGAUGCAGCCUUCAAAAUAACCUGACGAAACAAGACUGCUUACUGUUUACUAAACUGACUUUCUUGCCUUUCUGCGUAACUAUAAACAAGACUCCAGCUGUUGUAGUAACCCUUGACCUAAACUUUCUAUGCUUUUGCUCAUACUAAUAAAUUCUCCUCUGAGAC